rnacentral:rRNA from 1 species
GACGUAGGGCGCGAGCGUUGUCCGGAUUUAUUGGGCGUAAAGAGCUCGUAGGCGGCCUGUUGCGUCCGCUGUGAAAGCCCGGGGCUUAACCCCGGGUCGGCAGUGGAUACGGGCAGGCUAGAGGUAGGUAGGGGAGAAUGGAAUUCCCGGUGUAGCGGUGAAAUGCGCAGAUAGUCGGGAGGAACACCGGUGGCGAAGGCGGUUCUCUGGGCCUUACCUGACGCUGAGGAGCGAAAGCGUGGGGAGCGAACAGG